CUAGAGGAGCCUGUUCUAUAACCGAUAAACCUUACCAACCCUUGCCAAUUCAGCCUAUAUACCGCCAUCUUCAGCAAACCCUAAAAAGGAACAAAAGUAAGCACAAUCAUAGCACAUAAAAACGUUAGGUCAAGGUG
rnacentral:rRNA from 1 species